GAGAGAGGGGAGGGAGAGAGACUCAGAGAGAGAGAGGGGGUGAAGUGGGAGUGUGAGAGAGAGAGGUGAAGUGAGACUAGAGAGAGAGGGGGAGAGAGGUGAAGUGAGACUGAGAGAGAGAGAGAAAUAGAAAGAGAGACUCAGAGAGAGAAAGGGAGAGAGGUGAAGUGAGACUGAGAGAGAGAGAGGGAGAGAGAAAUAAAAAAGAGAGACUCGCAGAGAGAGAGAGAGGGAGAGAGGUGAAGUGAGACCAGAGAGAAAUAGAAAGAGAGACCAAGAGAGAGAGGGAGGGACCGAGGGAGAGAGGUGAAGUGAGACUCAGAGAGAGAGAAAGAGGGAGAGAGAGAGGGAGGGGUGAAGUGAGACUCGGGGAGGGGGAGUAGUGAAUGAAACGGAAAGUGUAGUGAGCUAUGUAUG
rnacentral:lncRNA from 1 species